CGCUCACUUCGGUAGCUGUAUAGUAAUAUUAGACUGAUACAGAGAAGAUUAGCUUGGCCCCUGAACAAAGAUGGUGCACAAGUUCAUGAAGCAUUCCAUAUUAUC